rnacentral:rRNA from 1 species
UACAGAGGGGGCAAGCGUUAUUCGGAAUUAUUGGGCGUAAAGGGCGCGUAGGCGGCCUGACAAGUGGAUGGUGAAAAUCCCUCGGCUUAACCGAGGAACUGCCACCCAGACUGUUUGGCUUGAGACCGGGAGAGGUGAGUGGAAUUCCCAGUGUAGCGGUGAAAUGCGUAGAUAUUGGGAGGAACACCAGUGGCGAAGGCGGCCAACUGGUCCGAUACUGACGCUGAGGCGCGAAAGCGUGGGGAGCAAACAGGG